rnacentral:lncRNA from 1 species
CAAACAUAAUACUAACAGAAAAUUUAUUAUUAUUUUGAUAAAAAAUAAUUUGGGCCGCCCUCCCCUCAAACACAAUACUAAUAAAGGAUCUUUUUUAUAAAUUUUGAUACGAAAUAAUAUUAUAAUUGCAUAAAAGUUAUUUUGAAUCGUGUUCCCGUUAAACAUAUCAUUAAUAAAAAAAUAUUAUAAUUAAUAUAAAAAUUUGUUUAAGUGUCCCUUUUGUCGAACACAAUACUAAUAAAAAAAUUGUUUGACCCGCCCUCCUAUCAAGGACAAUAUUAAUCAAUAAUUAUUAUAAUUAUGAUAAAAUUAAAUAUAAUUAUAUAGAUAAAAAUUAGUUUGAGCCGCUCACUUGUCGAACACAAUGCUAAUAACAAAACAUUAUAAUAUAGAUAUUAGUUGGUGUCGCCCUACCGUCAAACACAAUACUAAUAAAAAUUAUGAUAAAGUUAAAGAUUAUAAUUGGAUAAAAAUUAUUUUAAGUUGUGGUCUGUUUGAAUAAAAAAGAUAUUAUAACUUAGAUAAAAAAAUUAUUUUAGCUGUUUUCCCGUCAAACAUAAUACUAAUUGGAAAUUUAUUAUUAUUUAGAUAAAAAUUAAUUUGGGCCGCCCUCCCCUGAAAUACAAUACUAAUCAAGAAUCAUUUACAUUAUGAC